AGACCAAGGUGUACGUGGGGAACCUGGGCACGGGCGCUGGAAAGGGCGAGCUGGAGAGAGCCUUCAGCUACUACGGGCCCCUGAGAACCGUGUGGAUCGCGAGGAACCCGCCGGGGUUUGCCUUUGUGGAGUUUGAAGAUCCGAGGGAUGCUGAAGAUGCUGUGCUUGGCCUUGAUGGAAAGAUAAUAUGUGGCUCCAGAGUUAGAGUGGAAGUGUCAACUGGGAUGCCUCGUCGCUCCCGUUACGACAGGCCUCCUGCCCGGCGCCCGUUUGACCCAAACGACAGAUGCUAUGAGUGUGGUGAGAAAGGCCACUAUGCUUAUGAUUGUCACCGCUAUAGUCGGCGAAGGAGGAGCAGGUUUCUUCGUUUGAGUCAGUCGCCUUGAUUCAGAAUGUCACGAGCCUUAAGAUUUCAUGCUGAGGCGCCUUGCAAAUCCGACACUUAAGAUCCUCCUAGACCUUGAGGUGAUCAGCAUAAGAGGCCAGAUCCCCUCGAGCCAUCUACACGUAGCUUCACCUUAUUCUUUAAGGGCAGAAAAAUUGAGACGGUGAUCGCCGUAACAGUAAAUUUGGCUUUCAAUUGGGGCCCCCCUCCGGUUUAGAAAGAGGAACACCAGAUUGACCACAUUCCCACCUAGAAAAAUCUUCUUGCGUCAAUCAAGCCUCACCCUGGCUCAUUGGGCUGUCAGUUUGAUCGUCGUUAGAUUGAAGAGAACACCUAGAUGCAGCGAUCGGCUAUAGAUACUUCUAGAUCGUCUAGAUCUGCUAGACCUUGGGCCAAAGAGGGUCGACCUGCAAACUUGCAAGGUCCCGAUCAAGAUCUCGUUCACGGUCCCGAGGACGAAGGUAUUCUCGCUCACGCAGUCGGAGUCGUGGUAGGAGGUCAAGAUCAGCUUCCUACCGCAGGUCCAGGUCAAUCUCUCCUCGUAGGUAUAGGUCAUUUUCACCCCGCAGAUCUCGAUCUGGUUCUUUAAGGAGAUCAAGAUCUAGGUCCAGGUCACGCUCAAGGUCCCGAUCUGCUGUAUGGCCUCGAAGCAGGUCUGGGUCCCAUGGUAGAUCUAAAUCUGGCUUACCUGCUAAAAGUCGUUCAAAGUCCAGAUCACCAUCUCCAAAGAGAAGUCACUCACCAUCAGGAAGCCCUUGAAGGAGUGGAAGUCAUGAAAGAAUGGAUUUGAAUUUGAAAAGUUUAAGAAGAAAAAUUUAUUUUGUUUACAUUAUUAUAAGGGAUUUUGUGGUGUCUUUAUAAAUGUAAGGGCUUAGUCCUAGAAGGCUGUUUCUAUUGACUAACAAUUGGCAUGAACAUUUUAAAAGUCUUAGUAGUAGACUAAUGCAAAACUCCUUUGUUGUGUUAAUGUUCUGUGAUCUGGAAAUGUUGGGCUUUUUUUAUUGGUGCGUUGAAAUAAACUGCAUUUCUAAAGAAGAAGUAUUUUGUGAUAACCCUGCUCUUUCUGUUAAUAUUUGGGUAGCUGAAGCAGGUUACAGGUCACUGGUAAAAAGCAGGAGGCACUUGUGAACUGAGGGUAGUGCAGUGGCCAGUCUAGCUCUGCAGGUGCGUGUCUGUUAGAGGAUGGAUAAGGGUGCCAAUCUACCAGUACCAGCUUGUCAGUGUUAAUGUUUGGUCUUAAAUGCUAUGGUGAUCUGUACUGUGUAGUUUUAUUUGCACCUUCUCAAAGCUCAGCGGAGCUGAAAACCUGUCUGGAGGUGUUUGUACACUUGAUGAGUUGGCUUUCAAAAAUGUUUGCAAAGGGUGUUAACAGAUUGGAAAGAAACAAGAACUGUGUGAAUGCUCUGUCCUGAUGAUUAAAGGACCAGUGAACUCCUCACUUGGAGGUAUUUGGAAUAUUUCUGGAAUGUAAACUGUUGAAGUAAAUACUUUUAGAAAUCUUGUUCUGUGUCCAGUUGUGAUAGUUAGGAUAGACUGGCAGUUCUGGUGCAGAAGAUAAUACUCUAUUGGGGAAAUUAAACCUUUUUGUAUAGAUUAAAAGUCACAAGUGGAACCUGCAGGUCAUGUUUAAGUAGCAGUCAGUAUAUCUGAGGCAUUGAAAGUUCAUGUUACACUGACCUGGUGUGACUGAUCACAUCAUCUCCUUUGGUAGUAAAGUGCAACCACGGGACUUACUGCUGUCCUUACCAGUUGCUGCUUUGGGAAACUGGACUGUGGCUGCCUGUAUGCAGAUGGCCACCAUCUCACCAUUGGGGGAUUUAAUACAAGUAUUAUAAACUAGUGCAAGGUAGUUGCAAGUUGGAGUGGUCAUUAUCAGUUUGUAGCUGAUAAUGGCUGUUAAUAGACUAGUAAAGACAGUGCCAGGUGAUUUUCAGUUCUCCUUGCCCCAUCACAGUUUAUUGCAUCAAUGGUACAAUUGCUCUGUGCAACAGUGUUUUUAAAGAGGGAGAGUGGGGUGACUUUCUUCCUCUCUGUACUGCUAAAGCAAGCUGACUCCAUAAUAAACCUGUAGCCUAAAACA